rnacentral:rRNA from 1 species
AUUGAACGCUGGCGGCAGGCCUAAUACAUGCAAGUCGAGCGAGUGGCGGACGUGUGAGUAAUGGCUGGGAAACUGCCUGGUGGAGGUGGAUAACUACUGGAAACGGUAGCUAAUACCGCAUACCAUCAGAUGUGCCCAGGUGGGAUUAGCUAGUUGGUAGGGUAACGGCUUACCAAGGCGACGAUCCCUAGCUGGUCUGAGAGGAUGACCGGCCACACUGGAACUGAGACACGGUCCAGACUCCUACGGGAGGCAGCAGUGGGGAAUAUUGCACAAUGGGCGCAAGCCUGAUGCAGCCAUGCCGCGUGUAUGAAGAAGGCCUUCGGGUUGUAAAGCACUUUCAGCGGGGAGGCGUUACCCGCAGAAGAAGCACCGGCUAACUACGUGCCAGCAGCCGCGGUAAUUC